UACAGGGAGACUACCGGAGACCGAGGAUCCAAGCCCUAUUUGUUACACAAAACAUGCUGGAUGGUUAAUUUGGUGCGAACUUACUUUGUUCAUGUGGACUUUACAUAUCAGAUACUGGAUACACAUCGCAAUAGCAGGACCCCGUAAAUACUGUCUUCUGGAUUUUCACCACAGCAUGAUGGAUUCCCAGUUUCAUAAACUGUAUAACUUGUGUGUAUAAACUUCCCUAAUUACUAAUACCUGGCUCUGUUUUAAUUCUGCUUCCAUAUGUUCUUGACUUCUCUGCAGAUAUAACAGUAAGUUUCAUGUCUCAUUGCUCAAUUAGUUGCUGUUGUUAGCUUAAUAAGUGAAAGGCUUUCUGGUGUCAUUGACCUGAUUUUUAGGAUUGCAAAAGGCUGUAUACAUCAUUUGUAUUUAUUGCCAAAUAAACCUUUGUAAGUGUA